rnacentral:rRNA from 1 species
AUACGGAGGGUGCGAGCGUUGUUCGGAAUUAUUGGGCGUAAAGAGCAUGUAGGCGGUCUGUUAAGUCUGGUGUGAAAGCCCGGGGCUCAACCCCGGAAGUGCAUUGGGUACUGGCAGACUUGAGUAUGGGAGAGGAAAGCGGAAUUCCGAGUGUAGGAGUGAAAUCCGUAGAUAUUCGGAGGAACACCAGUGGCGAAGGCGGCUUUCUGGACCAAUACUGACGCUGAGAUGCGAAAGCGUGGGGAGCGAACAGGAUUAGAAACCCUAGUAGUCC